rnacentral:rRNA from 1 species
UACGUAGGUGACAAGCGUUGUCCGGAUUUACUGGGCGUAAAGAGCGCGCAGGCGGUCGUUCAAGUCGAGUGUGAAAGCCCCCGGCUCAACUGGGGAGGGUCAUUCGAUACUGAUCGACUCGAAGGCAGGAGAGGGAAGUGGAAUUCCCGGUGUAGUGGUGAAAUGCGUAGAUAUCGGGAGGAACACCAGUGGCGAAGGCGACUUCCUGGCCUGUAACUGACGCUGAGGCGCGAAAGCGUGGGGAGCAAACAGG